UACGGGGGGGGCAAGCGUUGUUCGGAAUUACUGGGCGUAAAGGCUGGUAGGCGGCCAACUAAGUCGGAUGUGAAAUCCCCAGGCUUAACCUGGGAACUGCAUCCGAUACUGGUCGGCUUGAAUCCGGGAGAGGGAUGCAGAAUUCCAGGUGUAGCGGUGAAAUGCGUAGAUAUCUGGAGGAAUACCGGUGGCGAAGGCGGCCAACUGGACGGUGACUGACACUGAGACGCGAAAGCGUGGGGAGCAAACAGG
rnacentral:rRNA from 1 species